UCAGAUACAAAUACCGGAUUGGACUAAAAAAUAACAUAGGUACCACAUUAGAAAAAAGUGUCAAAACUUAUGCACCAAAUUAUGUAUUAAGCCUUUAACUUUUAAAACAUAGAGAUUAAAUCUCAAAAAUUGUAAAAGUGCAGGGACUAAAAACAGAUUUUAACCUUUCAGUUUCACCCUUUUUCCAUUUUUCCACGUGACGGAAAACGACAGCGCAGGCUUCUAACUGAGAGGCAAAGAUAUUCCACGUAAAAACAAACAAGAAAGGGACCCACCAGUUCCAUCUGGUCCUUCCCGGAGCCGCCGUGUGUUGACAGUUCAGAUGCAUUAAUUGACCCGCCGAUGGACCCC
rnacentral:lncRNA from 1 species